rfam:Dipodomys ordii contig_23882, whole genome shotgun sequence.
GCUGGGCUGGCUCAGUGGUAGAGUGCUUGCCUUGCAUGCAUGAGACCUUGGGUUCGAUUCCUCAGCACCACA